AAAAAUCAGAAUACCAAAUUAUGUUUUCUGGUGAAUUACAGAGAAACACUUCCGUCAGUAUAAAAAAAGAAUUUUUGUCUGAGGUACCCUGAACCCUCUCCAUAUAUUGUUUGUUUGAAAUGGAAAAGGUUGGGCUUGGGACUAUAACUCCUUGUCAGCUGGAACAAUGAAUUUAGGUGUACUUGUGAUGUCUCCUUCGAUACAAAUAUUUGUUUUGGUUAUACUUUCUCUAAAAGUAUUUAAAUAUGAAUAGUUCUAAUAGACAAUGUAUUUAGGUAUUCUGCACAUAUUAUAGAUUGAAGUAUCUAUUGAGCAUAUUGAUGGCUAAAUAAAUAGAGAUGAUAUUUAA